AAAGUAUGAAGGUUCCUGUAACUGGAGCGUCUUUAGGCCGAGUCUUGCAUCUCAGGUUCUUUAUACGUUGUCCUUCUUUGUGCCUGGCUCGACCGAUGGAUAUGUUGCUGAUGAGAAACAGGUCCAUCAUGAGAAGUUAUUUCGAAGGCCAUUGCUGACAAGAUUGCAUUGCAAGCUGCAUCUGAGGGCAUUCCGAUACUGCCGGAAAUGUUAUUGCCCGCAUGGAAACGAUAGGCAUUCUUUAAGCCAUGUCAAUGACGUGGUAGUAGUGCAUAUUGCAGCCUUGCAGAGAGGUCGAGUAGGGUAAAUACAUCAUUUGUGGACGUUUUGGACACAGCUGCAGGCAUUACUGGUACAAAAAAACCAAUUUCGAGAUUUGUUGGAUCAUAGCCUAAAAGCUUAGGUUCUGGUGGCAGGUGGACAAGGAUGUGGUGGUUGAUUGAAACAUGAGGUUGGGUUUCUGAAUCACCAAGAAGCUUCCUCACAUCCAGCCCCCCGGUACGUCAUGGUCCUAUAUGUUUGUUACUUUGCAUGAGAUUUAUGGAAAUUGCUUGCAUAUCUCCUGUACCCAACAUGAACAUCCAUCAAAUAGUUUGAGCUUUUGCAUCAAUCAUAGAGCCUUAAUCAAC